rnacentral:rRNA from 1 species
AGAGUUUGAUCCUGGCUCAGAAUGAACGCUGGCGGCAUGCCUAACACAUGCAAGUCGUACGAAAUUAUUUUAGUGGCGGACGGGUGAGUAACGCGUGAGAAUUUACCUCUAGAAAAGGGAUACUACUUGUAUUAAACCCUUAUAUGCUUGACAGUGAAAAGAAAGUCUAUCUAGAAAUAAGCUCGCGUCUGAUUAGUUAGUUGGUUAGGUAAAGGCUGACCAAGACGAUGAUCAGUAGUUGAUUUGAGAGGAUGAUCAGCCACAUUGGAACUGAGACACGGUCCAAACUCCUACGGGAGGCAGCAGUGGGGAAUUUUCCGCAAUGGACGAAAGUCUGACGGAGCGACGCUGCGUGAAGGAUGACGGCCCGCGGGUUGUAAACUUCUUUUCUCGAAGAAGAAACAAAUGACGGUAUUCGAGGAAUAAGCAUCGGCUAACUCCGUGCCAGCAGCCGCGGUAAGACGGAGGAUGCAAGUGUUAUUCGGAAUGAUUGGGCGUAAAGCGUCUGUAGGCUGUAUAGAAAGUCUUUUGUUAAAUACCUCGGCUCAACCGAGAUCCAGCAAAGGAAACUUCUAUACUUGAGGUAAGUAGAGGUACAGGGAAUUCCCGGUGGAGCGGUGAAAUGCGUAGAUAUCGGGAGGAACACCAAUAUGGCGAAGGCACUGUACUGGGCUUUACCUGACGCUAAGAGACGAAAGCUAAAGUAGUGAUUAGGAUUAGAUACCCUAGUAAUUUUAGCCGUAAACGAUGGAAACUCACUGCCGAGCGAAAUACAACGAGCGGUGGUCAAGCUAACGCGUGAAGUUUCCCGCCUGGGGAUUACGCUUGCAAAAGUGAAACUCAAAGGAAUUGACGGGGACCCGCACAAGCGGUGGAGUAUGUGGUUUAAUUCGAUGCAACACGAAGAACCUUACCAGGGUUUGAAAUCAUUUCAAAACUCCUUGAAAGAGGAGCCUCCUUCGGGAUGGAAUGACAGGUGGUGCAUGGCUGUCGUCAGCUCGUGUUGUGAAAUGUCGAGUUAAGUCUCGUAACGAGCGCAACCCAUGUCUCUUGUUGCUCACUGAGUGCUUAAGAGAGACUGCCGACCAACAUCGGAGGAAGGUGUGGAUGAUGUCAAGUCAGCAUGCCCCUUACAUCCUGGGCUACACACGUACUACAAUGGUAGGGACAAUGAGCUGCGAUCCUGCGAAGGCUAGCCAAUCUCAAAAACCCUAUCUCAGUUCGGAUUGUACUCUGCAACUCGAGUACAUGAAGGUGGAAUCGCUAGUAAUCGCUGGUCAGCUAUACAGCGGUGAAUACGUUCCCGGGUCUUGUACACACCGCCCGUCACACCAUGGAAGCCGACUCUUCCCUAAGUCGUUACUCGAACCCAUUGGGACGAGGAUGCCGAAGGCAGGGUUGGUGACUAGGGUGAAGUCGUAACAAGGUAGCCGUACUGGAAGGUGUGGCUG